GAUGAACGCUGGCGGCGUGCCUAAUACAUGCAAGUCGAGCGAACGGACGAGAAGCUUGCUUCUCCGAUGUUAGCGGCGGACGGGUGAGUAACACGUGGAUAACCUACCUAUAAGACUGGGAUAACUUCGGGAAACCGGAGCUAAUACCGGAUGAUAUUUUGAACCGCAUGGUUCAAAAGUGAAAGACGGUCUUGCUGUCACUUAUAGAUGGAUCCGCGCUGCAUUAGCUAGUUGGUAAGGUAACGGCUUACCAAGGCAACGAUGCAUAGCCGACCUGAGAGGGUGAUCGGCCACACUGGAACUGAGACACGGUCCAGACUCCUACGGGAGGCAGCAGUAGGGAAUCUUCCGCAAUGGGCGAAAGCCUGACGGAGCAACGCCGCGUGAGUGAUGAAGGUCUUCGGAUCGUAAAACUCUGUUAUUAGGGAAGAACAUAUGUGUAAGUAACUGUGCACAUCUUGACGGUACCUAAUCAGAAAGCUACGGCUAACUACGUG
rnacentral:rRNA from 1 species